UCACACAAGAGACCCAAACCAAUCGUUUACGGCGUAAAGAGUGGACUCAUGCCUAUCACAACAUUUAAGGUCGAAACGUAACUGAGCUGUCAUAAGCUUAAGGUACGCCUAAAGCCUCCCUGAACAUGGCCUUAAUUGAUAUGAUCUAUUAAACUCCACGAAAGCCAGGACACAAACUGGGAUUAGAUACCCCACUAUGCCUGGCCCUAAAUCUAGAUGCUUAUGUUACUAAAGCAUCCGCCCGAGGACUACGAGCACAAACGCUUAAAACUCUAAGGACUUGGCGGUGCCCUAAACCCACCUAGAGGAGCCUGUUCUAUAAUCGAUAACCCACGAUGCACCCGACCACUUCUUGCCAAACACAGCCUACAUACCGCCGUCGCCAGCUCACCUCUCCUGAAAGUACAGCAGUGAGCACAAUAGCCCCAGCCCCGCUAGCAAGACAGGUCAAGGUAUAGCCUAUGGAGUGGAAGAAAUGGGCUACAUUUUCUAACCUAGAACACCCCACGGAAGGGGGCAUGAAACAGCCCCCAGAAGGCGGAUUUAGCAGUAAAGCGGGAUAACAAAGCCCUCUUUAAACUGGCCCUGAGGCACGUACAUACCGCCCGUCACCCUCCUCACAAGCUUUAAACUUAUAAUAAAUAAUACGCCAGCCCGCUAAAGAUGAGGUAAGUCGUAACAAGGUAAGUGUACCGG
rnacentral:rRNA from 1 species